CCGAGUGAGGGCCUCCGGGGCCCGACCUCCAACCCUUUGUGAACACACCCGUUGCUUCGGGGGCGACCCCUGCCGUUUCGACGGCGAAGCGCCCCCCGGAGGUCUUCCAACACUGCAUCUUUGGCGUCGGAGUUUAAGGAAAUGAAAACA
rnacentral:misc_RNA from 1 species